CUUCCAGGAAAAGCCUCUAAGCUUCAGAUAGUCAGGAAUCGUACCCCAAACCGACACAGGUGGUCGGGUAGAGAAUACCAAGGCGCUUGAGAGAACUCGGGUGAAGGAACUAGGCAAAAUGGUACCGUAACUUCGGGAGAAGGUACGCUCUUGAUGGUGAAGUCCCUCGCGGAUGGAGCUGACGAGAGUCGCAGAUACCAGGUGGCUGCAACUGUUUAUUAAAAACACAGCACUGUGCAAAAUCGCAAGAUGACGUAUACGGUGUGACGCCUGCCCGGUGCCGGAAGGUUAAUUGAUGGGGUUAGCGCAAGCGAAGCUCUUGAUCGAAGCCCCGGUAAACGGCGGCCGUAACUAUAACGGUCCUAAGGUAGCGAAAUUCCUUGUCGGGUAAGUUCCGACCUGCACGAAUGGCGUAAUGAUGGCCACGCUGUCUCCACCCGAGACUCAGUGAAAUUGAAAUCGCUGUGAAGAUGCAGUGUACCCGCGGCUAGACGGAAAGACCCCGUGAACCUUUACUACAGCUUGGCACUGAACAUUGAACCUACAUGUGUAGGAUAGGUGGGAGGCUAUGAAGACGUGACGCCAGUUGCGUUGGAGCCGUCCUUGAAAUACCACCCUUGUAUGUUUGAUGUUCUAACUUAGACCCAUUAUCUGGGUUGAGGACAGUGCCUGGUGGGUAGUUUGACUGGGGCGGUCUCCUCCCAAAGAGUAACGGAGGAGCACGAAGGUGGGCUAAUCACGGUUGGACAUCGUGAGGUUAGUGCAAUGGCAUAAGCCCGCUUAACUGCGAGAAUGACGGUUCGAGCAGGUGCGAAAGCAGGUCAUAGUGAUCCGGUGGUUCUGUAUGGAAGGGCCAUCGCUCAACGGAUAAAAGGUACUCCGGGGAUAACAGGCUGAUACCGCCCAAGAGUUCAUAUCGACGGCGGUGUUUGGCACCUCGAUGUCGGCUCAUCACAUCCUGGGGCUGAAGUCGGUCCCAAGGGUAUGGCUGUUCGCCAUUUAAAGUGGUACGCGAGCUGGGUUUAGAACGUCGUGAGACAGUUCGGUCCCUAUCUGCCGUGGGCGUUGGAAGAUUGAAGGGGGCUGCUCCUAGUACGAGAGGACCGGAGUGGACGAACCUCUGGUGUUCGGGUUGUGUCGCCAGACGCAUUGCCCGGUAGCUAAGUUCGGAAUUGAUAAGCGCUGAAAGCAUCUAAGCGCGAAGCGAGC
rnacentral:rRNA from 1 species